UACGUAGGGUGCGAGCGUUGUCCGGAAUUAUUGGACGUAAAGGGCUCGUAGGCGGUUUGUCGCGUCGGGAGUGAAAACACACAGCUUAACUGUGUGCUUGCUUCCGAUACGGGCAGACUAGAGGUAUGCAGGGGAGAACGGAAUUCCUGGUGUAGCGGUGAAAUGCGCAGAUAUCAGGAGGAACACCGGUGGCGAAGGCGGUUCUCUGGGCAUUACCUGACGCUGAGGAGCGAAAGUGUGGGGAGCGAACAGG
rnacentral:rRNA from 1 species